rnacentral:rRNA from 1 species
CCUACGGGUGGCAGUAGUCGAGAAUCAUUCACAAUGGGGGAAACCCUGAUGGUGCGACGCCGCGUGGGGGAAUGAAGGUCUUCGGGUUGUAAACUGCUUUUAUAAGCGAGAAAUAUGAUGGUAACUUAUGAAUAAGGAUCGGCUAACUACGUGCCAGCAGCCGCGGUCAUACGUAGGAUCCGAGCAUUAUCCGGAGUGACUGGGUGUAAAGAGUUGCGUAGGUGGCAUAAUAAGUAGCUAGUGAAAUCUGGUGGCUCAACCAUUCAGACUAUUAGCUAAACUGUUAAGCUCGAGACCGUUAGGGGUAACUGGAAUUUCUAGUGUAGGAGUGAAAUCCGUAGAUAUUAGAAGGAACACCGAUAGCGUAGGCAGGUUACUGGGACGGUUCUGACACUAAGGCACGAAAGCGUAGGGAGCAAACGGGAUUAGAUACCCCGGUAGUC